GACGAACGCUGGCGGCGUGCCUAAUACAUGCAAGUAGAACGCUGAAGGAGGAGCUUGCUUCUCUGGAUGAGUUGCGAACGGGUGAGUAACGCGUAGGUAACCUGCCUGGUAGCGGGGGAUAACUAUUGGAAACGAUAGCUAAUACCGCAUAAGAGUAGAUGUUGCAUGACAUUUGCUUAAAAGGUGCAAUUGCAUCACUACCAGAUGGACCUGCGUUGUAUUAGCUAGUUGGUGGGGUAACGGCUCACCAAGGCGACGAUACAUAGCCGACCUGAGAGGGUGAUCGGCCACACUGGGACUGAGACACGGCCCAGACUCCUACGGGAGGCAGCAGUAGGGAAUCUUCGGCAAGGGACGGAAGUCUGACCGAGCAACGCCGCGUGAGUGAAGAAGGGUUUCGGAUCGUAAAGCUCUGUUGUAAGAGAAGAACGAGUGUGAGAGUGGAAAGUUCACACUGUGACGGUAUCUUACCAGAAAGGGACGGCUAACUACGUG
rnacentral:rRNA from 1 species